rnacentral:rRNA from 1 species
AUGAUCAAAUUUAUGGAAUAUUUCACCGGAUGUGCACUAUCUUACCCAAUUACACAGGAAAUGAUUACUUCAUUUAGGUUUAAGUUAGCCAGCAUACUAUUAUGUUGGAAAACAAACACUGCAGCAAGGACUACAAUCGUUGAAGAAAGUAACGAUGACACUAAUGGAGAUCCUGAUGAUGUUCAAAUAUUAGAAAGCCUAGAUGAUAUAAAAAUAUCAAAGAAAAAAAUCCCAUUAUCUGUUGAAAAUAAAUACAGAUCACUAAUAUCUAUUCUUUCUAAUAUGAGUGUACAUGAAUUAACAGCUGGACUCUGUAGCUUCAUUAAAUCAAUCAAUUACACUGAGAUUUUAGAGUAA